UACCAACCGACAAUUUUUUAAAUAUUUUUCUUUUUAAUUUAAUUUAGUAAGUCUCCACGCUUCUUGUUAAUGUUAUGAUUAUUAAAAUCAGAUUAUAAAUGAAAAAAACUUUACUGAAAAAAUAUAAAUAAUAUAUGUACAGUGAAAAUAAUUUAUCGAAAUUAAAAAAAAAAAGAAUGUUUCUAAUUAUUUGCACCAGAUAAGCGAAAUUUUGUCAACUCGCCGGUUCGAAGAGACUGACGCCUUUGAUAAGUAGCUGUCAUAAAAAAAAAUUUGCGUCUGCCGAACGACUGAUAAUAAUCAUAGUGUGACGCUCAGCGUAGUGUUCACUCUCACAUAUCACACACAUUGGGUGCUCAUGAGUGUCGGCGGUGUAAGUUGUGUGUGUUCUGAGGCAAAGUAGGCUACAGUAAUGCGCGUAUAAAUGAGUGAAGUGAUAAUAUAUUUAUUUUUAUUUUCUAUUUAUAAUUAGUUUUUAUGAGAGGCCGCAAUGGCUGAGUGGGUGGUUGGCUAGAUUAUUUACAAAAUUAUCGAAAUAACGAUCGUCCGUCGACAGGAAAAUCAACCCCUCCAGUUGCAUUUCUGAAUAAGAACAAAAAGCUACUUUUAAAAACCCAUCAGUUAUUCAGAGGUGGUUUAUAGCUAUACAAAGAGGUUCCUACAUUUAUUGGAAAUACACCAAGACGCACAUUCCAAAUUAGUGGGUGGUUUGCUCGAAAAUCGCUUCAGCAGUUGUAUGGCGCUUAAAAUUAUUAUUACGGAUAUUAAUGUUUAGAAGACAGGGCAACUAAAUAUGUUUUUAAGAAUAUUUAUUUCUCAUGAAAAUAUAAUUUCAAUUCAAAAUAAUCAAAUAUUUCAUAGUACCGCUUACCCAUCUCGUUACUUUAUUGCGAGCUGCUGUUGUUGUUGUUGUUAUUGUAACCGCAAAAUAUUCCCCGGUAUAUUGGUUUUCCGGAAAUAUUGUAGGAGCGACAGUCUUUGGCCUAAAAUCCGGGUCGUUCCGGUAUAAAGACCCGACUAUCGCCGGAACUAUUGGAUUUAAGUCGGCUCUUUCGACAAGUAUGCCUCACCACGGGCAAAUUCUUAAGCCUCUAACCCACGAGUAGCUCGUUCUCUAUGAAACUUAAUAUUCUGCGGCUAAAGUGCAGUACCUUUUAGCCUUUCUUCAACUCCAUAAUCUACUGCGAUUACAAAAGUAGUAGAGAGUCGCAGCUGAUAGUUCUAACUUCAACUCCACAUUCUACUGCGAUUACAAAAGUAGUAGAGAGUCGCAGCUGAUGGUUCUAACUCUCCUGAGAUAAACCGUUUUUCAACUCAUAAGAAACGUUGUAAUGUAUUUAUUUGCACUAAAUUUUGGAACUAUCUUCUAGGCCUGAAAUAAUUUUAUAUAAAAUAUAGAAUAUUUCACACAUUUCAAAACCUGCAAACAAUACUCUGCCAUUGGUACAAUACAUUGAGAGCGCACUGUACUCAGUUAUGUUCUCUUACAUUGUAUUUAGCAUAGCGCAGCUUCGCACCCGCCGCCAACUUGAGCUUUCUGCAUAUCAGCUGGCUUACAACUGUCAGUUAUGCUUCCGUCCAGCAACACGCUGUGCCAUGGUGAUACUGUCAGCAAUAACAAUAACAACGUCAAUAAUAAUAUUGUAAUAAUUAUCAUUAACAAUAACAUUGCUAGGAAACGCAGCUGCCGCGCUUGUGUGGCGUUUGAUGAAUGUAUGGUUCGUUGGUUGUUUCGCCUGCUGAUAGACUUGUAGACAAGCUGGGUUGGCUUAGUGCUUGAAAGGUUGGAAGGGUAGUUUGGAAGUAUUUCAAUGUAUAUACAUACAUGUUUUGAAUUUUGGUUUUUUUAUCAAAUAAAUAAUAUUAUAUACAGCUAUGUUUUUGAGCAGAACCCCUACUUUCGCACUCCACCCUUUGACACUAAUACGCUAACAAAUGUACGCUUAUUUUUCGGCUUUUAUAUUUUUUCUUUUUAUAAAAAUGUGCUUAUGUAUGUGUAUGCAAAGCUUAUGAUUUAUGUACAACAGAGCUAAACGCAUGUAAAUAAUGAGUGAGAAACAUAUAUUUUAAAUAAAUAAAGCAAAAGCAAAUAAAUAAAAAAAUGAGAAAAAAUAUUUUUGCGGACGUACAUGCAUACACACAUAUUUAUGAAAUACAAAUAAACGGCGACCGCAAUGAGGCGUGAGUUGCAUUUACGUCGUCGCGUUCUCUCGGCACCACAAUCGCAACAGUAGCGCGUUGGUAGAAGCGCAGCAGCAGCAACAGAAACAAUAACCAACAACCAACAACAGCCCAAAGCUAACAAUGCUCAACAGCAAAAAUAACAACAACUAAGAAACAUCAGUCAACAUCAGCACGGUGUAUUUUCAAAGCGUUCAGUAUAAAUCGUCGAGUAUCUGUGUGGCGGGCCCGCAGUAGCGCUGAGUAGCUAGAGAUACAAAGUACUUAACAUCGUCGUCGUCGAUUUGGCGAACUUAUUGGCUAGGAUUUUCCGAUGUUCGAAGUUUUGGGGUUGUCUCGAUCGGUUUCGCUUUCAUCUUGACCAAUGCGGUGCGGCUUAUUUGUUGUAAAUUUGGAAUUCUCAGUUGAUCGUGCUGUUACUGCGCGCCGUCGGUGGAUGUGCGACUGAAAAAAUCGUGAUCUUCUGUUGGCGACAACGAAAUAAUUUAAGGGCAAAUAUUUAAAAAGUUCACAACUCACUCUGCCUAAAUCAACAAAUCAUUUAUAAGUAGUUAAUGCAAAAUGAAAAUAUGGUUGGCCUGAAAAUGUGCGUUACUACUAAAAUAAAAGCAAUAAAUUCAAACAUCUAUAAAAGUGGCAUUAAUGAAAGCAACAACAACAUUAACGUGCAGUUAAAAAACAACAGUUCGCUUAAGCGUGUUGCUGCAGUCAAGUUGCAUAAGACGGUCAAAAGCAAUAGCAAUAACAAUAACAGCAAAAUCAAACAAACAAGUGAAAUCAGUUGUAAAAAUAAUAGUAAAUACAACAAAAUUAACUGCGACAGCAAUACCAACAGCUACGACAAUAAAAAUUGUCAGAGCAACAUCGUUGUGAAAAUAAACAUCAACAGUGCAAUCAUAAAUAGCUGGAGCAUGCAUGUGUUGUGCCAACAACGGUCAUAACAACUUUAAGCGUGAAAACAACGACAACAACAAAAGCGACAGCAGCAAUUUGGCCUUCACAAGCGACAAUUGAUACGCUUGCAACCGUGCAACCAUGCAGACAUGCUUAUAAGUGUUUGAAAACAAAAAUGUAAUAGCAAUAAACAAAAACAACACAAAUAAAAAUACAUGUUUGCAUAACAAAUUUAUGUAAAAGGAAAAAUAUAUGCAAAUAUAAGAGAUUGGUAUUUGAAAAAAAAAGAA